rnacentral:lncRNA from 1 species
GUCGAUAAGUCAAAGGCAGAAGACAUCAAAGAGGUUUUCUUCAGGAUCGUGGAAGAACACAAGCUAGACUUUAUAGCUGAAGUACCUCAACACACAGAUCUAAAACAGGGUUACCCUACUUCUAUGUAGAGCUAAAUGAUGGAGAGAAGAUCUUACACAGAAUAAAGAAAUUCUUUCCUCUACAGUUUGGCAGAGAGGUGGUGGCAGCUGAAGAAUUGCUUGACUUGCCCGAGAGAGUGGACUGGAAGAACUGUAGCAUCAGCAAGGAAGAGGAGAUGAAAUUAGUCUCGACGUUUAGUGAACAGUUUGAGCCGUUUGACUUUAAUCUCGGAGACGGACGUGUGGUAUCCCACGGAUUCGGAGUGGUGCUGAUAACUGUUUCAUGCAGUUUGUCAACACUGACGAGACGUCGUUAUUUGACAGUUACCAUGGUAAUGAUCAGAUACCCGUGCUACUUAGCAGAUCAACUUGGUAGAUGUUGAUGAGAUGAUCGCCUGAUAUUCAAGGUUUAUUAUCUGUCGGAUUAUCACGGAAGGGUUUUUUAACGGCUAUGCUGGAAUUGCAGGCGUGCGAUAUUCAACUUGUCUGUUCUUGGUCAAGAGAUGGAUGCUGUAGCUGCCCUGUGUACAGCUGUGGGUUAGGUGAAAGCAGAUGCAAAAGAUCAGUCUGCACUGCCGCUCAUCAUCCAGGUGUUAAAUGGGUUCACUCUAGGAUGUUAAAGUCAUUGUCCCGUAUUCUGAACUCGAGAUGAAUUAAUGCUCAGGUCUUAAGUUGUGGUUUAACUAUGGAAAGCCUGUUGUGACAUAAAUCUUAGUACCGUUUCGAUUCAUCAUCUCAUCAACCACUCAGAUCAGUCUCAACUCUCUGAGAAUAGUAAUUGAAUUAGUUUCCAUCGUCAUUAUAACAUGAUGAGAGAGCUCAAUGAAUAAGAAAAUUUACAUGUAUAGUGAUAACAGGAUUUUGUGCAUUCCAUAGAUUAAGCACAGAGUUAGAUCAUGGCCGAAAUUCGAUCUGACUAUGGAAUACGGGCAAUUGUAUCUUACCAGCAUUAUGAGUGCCGUAUGUGGAGAUUUGCUGGAAUAUUGAUUUAAAAGUCACACUUAAACACUUGAUAUUGACUUGACCAUUUAAGGACGUUCCACAGUUAUGUUUGUGCGCAUCCUGAUCUGAUGCCACAAUUGAUGAACAGGUAAUUAAUCAGAUGUAGGUAUGAGCUGAUUUUUCUCCUUAUCUGCACUACCUGCAGAUCCGAUGUGUUAUUUUAUGAAACUAAUAAACUAGAAUUAUACUAUGGACUAUUUAAAAAAAAAAACUCUCCAAUUUCAAAAUACUUUGCUCUGCAGCACUGCAAAGUAUGACGAAUAUGACUAGACCCCGAGUUUGAAUAAAUACAGCGGUUUUGGAAUUUUCUUCUUUUUUAGGUGUUUAAAAAAAGCACAUUUGCUCUCAUAAAAGUGCUGAUAGUUUGAAAACAAGCUGAACCCCUAUAUUUGUUAUUUAAAUUUCACGUUUUUUAGGUUGGGUUUUUGUUAUCUUUCACACCAUUUUUAAGAACUGACAGUGCUGUUAAACUUUAAAGAGCAAACAACAGCAAUAUAAAUAGAUUUUCUAUCUUAAGGAUACAAUUAACUAUAGCGCAAAUUUUGAUGAAAGUUUCAUGGAUUUUGACUGAGUAAUAGAAGUUUAAACCCAAUUUUGUGGUGUCGUGAGGUCUAAAAAUGCCAAAUUCUUUGAAUGGACAAUUCUUUACAAUGACCAUUUGGGUGAACUUUGUACAUGUAGCUCUAUAGCAGAAAAGGAAGCACAUUAGCCUAUGUUAAAACGACAUGGAUUACACUUUAACUGUGGAACGUCUUUAACUAAUGUUGUAAAUCGGAUCAAAAUUAAGAUCGAAAAUUGGAUCGGCAGUUAAACUUCUAAAAUCGAAAUCUAAUCGAAAAUCGAAUCGGCGAUGUUUAAAAACAAAGGAAAACAUCAACAUUUUGUUUGCGGUUGCGCGCAUCUUCCUGACAAAGUCACAAAGACGAAUGCAUUGGAAUGGAAGUCGCCAACAUGCGCAAUCGUUUGAACAUGUUUUAAAGGGGUUUUGAGGUGUUAUUGCUUUAAAAUAAACAGAGUGAUUUUUAUUAGAAAGAUAAACGAAAGACGCAUCUUCCGAGCAAAGG